CUUUCUUUUACUAGUACUGGCUUCUUCUAGUAAUUGGCCUCUACUAAUACUGGCUUCUAUUAGUACUGACUUCUACUUGUACUGACUUCUACUAGUACUGGCUUCUAUUAGUACUUGACUUCUACUACAACAUGGAUUCUACCAGUACUGGCUUUCACUAGUACUGGCUUCUAUUAGUACUGACUUCUACUUGUACUGACUUCUACUAGUACUGACUUCAACUAGUAGUAGUACCAACUUAGUAGAAGUUGGCUUCUAAUUGUGCUGACUUUUAUUUGUACUGAUUUCUUCUAGUAUUUGUCUUAUACUAGUACUUGGCUUUGACUAUUACUGAUUUAUAAUAGAACUUCACUUCUAUUAGUACAGAUUGUUCUAGUAUCUGGAUUCUGCUAUUUUUUACUAGUACUGUUUACUAGUCCUCUAUUAGCUUUUCUACUAGUCCUUCUAAUAGUCUGUACAGGAAAUUGAAUCAAGAAUGAUCAAAAAAGCUGUUUUUACAAUAACACUUGAACAAAAAAGAUGUGACAGCCAUUGCAAAACAUGAGACAUCGCUGUAUAAAUGGAAGGGAAGAAGGCAGCGUAUUCUGGUAAAAAUCUCCACGAGGUGCAUGUUAUCAUUUUUGCUUAUGUAAUAGGAAGCUUUUCUAGAUUUUACAACAACCUUUUCACCAUAAAAGUAAUAAUUAGAAGUUUAACGUGUUAAAAUUGUAUAAAAGAAUUAAAUUGUAUUUUGGAAGGAAUAAAGUUACUGAGCAGUAAAACUUCAUCAUAAAAAUUGUUCAUUAUGUCUGUAUAUGAACAUGUAAAUGCCUAUUUUAACCUGAAAGCAUAUUUUCUUGACAUAAAAUUCUGUACUUAAUAAAAACAGUUAAUGGUAGGUCUCAUAAAAAUGGAGAAAAAUUAAUAACCUGUUAUAUUUUAUACCUGGUGUCAGGGAUACUUUGUGUACUAAGGCAUAUAUGACGGGCUUGGAAGGUGAAGAGAGGCAGUCAAAAUAGGUAUAAGUUGUUUAAAAAUCUUGUAAGAUAUCAGAUAAAAAGUGGUCAGUAAAAUUGAGUCUGAUUUUAAGCUGGACUAUUCGAAGAAUAAGGAGAGCUAUACUACUCACCCAAGCGUCUGCGUCGUGUCAUACCUUGGUUAAGGUUUUGCAUGCAAGCACAUCUCAGUAAAUACAUCAUGUUUUGCAUUGAAACUUUAGAUAUGUAUUCCCAACUAUCUAACCUACUAAAUUAAUGAAGUAAGAUAACAAUUAUUUGAAUUUAAUGCAAAUAAUAGGCCUUUAUUAUUCGACUUAGAAAUUCUGGUUAAGGUUUUGCGAUCAAGCACACAUAGGUUAAUAUCUCAGCAACUACUUGAGGUAUUGCAUUGAGACUUUAUACAAUGGUACUGAACCAUCCAACCUACUUAAUUAACCAAGUAAGAUAACUCUAGUUUGCAUUAAAUUCAAAUAAUGGCACCUUUUUUAUUCGACUUAAAAAUUCGGGUUAAGGUUUUGCAUGUAACCACAUUUAAGUCAAUACCUCAGCAAAUAAUUAUAUCAUGUUUUGCAUUGAAACUUUAGAUAUGUAUUCUUAACUAUCUAAUCUACUAAAUUAAUGAAAUAAGAUAACACUUUUUUGAAUAUAGUGCCAAUUAUGGGCCUUUAUUAUUUGACUUAGAAAUUCUGGUUAAGGUUUUGCAUGUAAGCACACAUAGGUUAAUAUCUCAGCAACUAUUUGAUGUAUUGCAUUGAGACUUUAUACAAUGGUAUUCAACCACCCAACCUAAUUGAAUAACCAAAUUAGAUAACUGUAUUUUGCAAAUAAUGGCCCUUUAUUAUUAGACUUAGAAAUUCUGGUUAAAAUUUUGCAUGUAUCUACAUUUAUGUUAAUAUCUCAGCACAUCAUGUAUUGCAUUGAAAUCUACUCUAACAGUGAUCCAUGCAUGUUUCGCCAAAACCUUUCAAUCCCUACACUGAAAAGCGGCGGAAUAGUCGAGCGUGCUGUCUCUGUGACAGCUCUUGUUUUUUAGUCUACUUGAGGUGAGUGAGACAUGACUGUUGCAAUGGCGGUUUCAUCCCAGUCAUGUUAGUCUGACUGUCCGGACUGAACCUUGUCCAGGCUGUAUCUUGACCAUGCAUUAUAGGAUUUACUUGAAUUUUAAAUUGCCAUUAAUGUUAACCAUGAUGAGGUGGUGUGUGGCACAAAAGACAAGGUCUGUACCUCAAAGGUCAAGUUCACACUUAGAGGUCAAAGGUUAAAAGUAUCCUUGUCUGUGCUGUGUCCUUACCAUUCCUUAUAGGAUUUUCUAAAAACUUGCCAUGAAAGUUCACCAUGAUGAGGUCUAUUGUGUCUGGUUCCACAUACUGUUCAUCUCAAUGUUAUUCUGUGUUGCAAUUGCAUGGAAGAAUAUCAUGUCUGUGUCAAAGGCUCUUUCAAAGGGCUCGCAAUGUCACCAUUUGGCAUAUUGUUUUUGGUACUUCUGCUAUUAUUUCACUCAGCUGGCACGAGACUUCAAUCAGUGCCAGACCUUGAAAGUUAAAGGAAUGGUGAUACUGUUGUAUGUUUAUUAAUAUUACAAAUGUUUCAGUUACUUAGUAUGUCAUCAGUCUGCUUAAAGCUCAAAGAUUGUUCAUAUGUUUGUAAGAAAUCACAAUAUUAGUACUAGAAUUACUGAACUUAAUGUCAUAACUGCCACCCCCAGAUUAAGCGAACAAACCAAACCUUUUAAGACAUUUGUUUAGAUCCAAGCUCUAGUGACCUACUUGGCAACUUUGUUCAGCAUUUUUACACUUAAUGAUUGUCUUGAUUUCUAUGAAAUUAUGUACAAGUGCUUGAUGUGUUUGCAGUUCUGUUUGCAGAAAGACCGUCACCCAAGUUGGAGAUAGUUCUAAAUCUGCUGUCAAGUACCACAUCCUGACAAACCUGUUAUCCAAAUAUGUGCCUCCACCAUUGUAAGGGCUUCCAUUAUUUGAGGACAGAUUCAAGUCAGAUCAGAAGGAUGCUUUAAUAUUGUUACAAAACUGAUACCCUUUGCAAGAAGGAGCAACUAGAUUAACAAAUCUUCAGGCCAUGUCAUGAAAGCAUGAAAAUACUACUGCAAAUUUAAUGGGACUAUUUCAUGUUUCUGCUGUUUGGUCAAGUGCGGCGCUGGCCACUAUUUGCAUGCCAGUGAUGGCCAAGCCAGAGAGCACAGUAGUGGGUUGAUUGCCUUUAAAUAUCGGAACAGGACACUUGUUGGACCUCAAAUGCUAUCAUUUAUCAGCCAAAGGAAUUUCCCCCUGCUGAUAGAAGGGACCUUACUAAACCAUGGUAAUCAUACUAAAUACCAGUACCUAUGUGUUAUACUUGUGUCCAGUGACGUAAGAAGACUGAUGCACAGUCAAACAAGUGGAUGGGAGACCAAAAAGGACAAGACUUAGUGGUAAGAAGCAGACUUGAGCCACUGACCACAACUGGUUGACAUUGGGACGCCAAUCAGGAUGAGAGGUCAUUCAUUGGAACGUGUUAGUGAAGUUGUUCAACUUGGUGCACGCCACUGGUCAGACUGAAGUGUAUGGAAGUCAAACCACUUGUAAACAACUUCCGAAUCUGCUACAGCCAUGGGUUAUAGCCCAACCAGUACUUAAGAAAACAACUGGUACUGACAAUAGUACAAAGUAGUACUAGAGAGAUAUAUGGGUCACAUAUCUAUGUUAAUCGUGAAUGAAGUGACAGUGGCCUGAAUCACUGACACUAGUACACCUACAGUGAUAGUGCGAUGUGGGAAAUGUAUUAAUAGAUGAAUGCUUUUAAUAAAAUUGUAUAACACAUGGAAUCUAUAUAUAUCUGUUAACAAGAAAAUGAUGAUUAUUUGCCAGGGAACAUUCCAAAAUAAAUACGAAACAUACAAGUAUAGAUCCAAAGCCUUCAGCUAAGACUGUGUAGACCCUUGUACAUGGCAUAAAGAGAGACAUAAUAGAAUUGUCUUGAUACUGUUUGACAUUGAUCAAGAAAGAAUUUUUAAACUGAAAUAAUGUUAGCUUCAAAAUCAUCCAUUAUAAUAUCACGCAUAAAUUAUGAAAUUAUCAUAAACAAAUCUUCCUAUAUGAAAUGUAACAGAACUUCUAUCACACUUUACCUUGACUAAGCUCUUAGACUUAUAUAAUAUUAUUAAUAAUUACCUAACUACCAUUUUUUCAAUAACCUUGAUGUUGACAAUUGGAAAUUGUGUGACUUUGUACUCACCUGUGAACUAUGCAUGCCAUUGUCCCCUUUCAAAGUAACACUUGAUCCCAGACAAAACUUAUUAAAUAUUAUUUCUUGUCAUAUUUAUAUCAAUUACAUGAAACUCGAUCUGAAUUUACGGCUCUAAGGUUACAAAGUCAAGCAUAAUUGGUAGAUAUUUUUCAUAUUUUUCGUUAAUGAGAAUGCUCUAUUGUGUCCUUGUGGACGUGAAGCUAAGGUUUCUCUUCAUUGUAUCUAUUAUCAUCAUUAAUUUCCUUCUUCAAUAACCAUUUUAACAAAGACUGUGACUCAUUUGAACUAGUGUCUGUUCUGUUGAUCUAGGGGGGAGAGAAUUUGCUUACAUGGAAAAAUAAUGAGCAAACAAAUUCAGACAGUGGGUUGUUGUAUGUAAAUCUAACAGAAAUAUAAUUUUGAAAUUUGCUGAAAUUACUGAUUUAGAUAUUGAGGCGGUUAAUUUGAUACUGAUAUUAACUUACUGUGCAAAGUAGAUACCUGUAAAGCUCAAUAAAACUCUUGUAAUGACUUUCAUAGAUAUUGUUACUUUAAUAAAUAUGUGGUAAUAUUGAAGUAAUGGAGUGAUAUUUGAUUUUUACAAAGAUUGUCAGGGGGAUACGUUGCUAUAAAAUAUGGGUUUAAUGUGACGAAAGAUUUAUUAUGUCUUUAUAGAAAUAAUAGUUUAAUUCUUUAUAUUUGACUCGCUAUUUUAUGGUGUUAAGAGUUUAAUUCAUGAAUAUUGUAUUUUCUUAAAAAUAAAUGCACAGCAUCAUAGA